rnacentral:piRNA from 1 species
UGAUAUAUAGAGUGGUCAGCGAAGGC